AUAAUGAAAUUCAUCUAUGGACCAUAAAGAAGAAACCAAGAGACCUUAUUGAAAAAAUUAGUGGAUGAAUUCUAAAGUCUUUUCCCAAUUGACAAAGGCUAGAGGUUUUGCUUCGUAACAUCUGUGGAAAAAUUUCUUCUCAAACUUUCAACUUUUGAAAAUUUAGACUCUAAAGAUUGCCUAAUGGGUGUUGAAGAAGUUGUAUUAUUCGUCCAUUGCUCUUUUACAUGUCUAUUUGAGAAUUCAUGCAUAUGAAGUGGCAUUGAUGCCCUGAUUGCAAAUUCUACAUUGAAUGUUUUAGCAAAUGUGAUGAUAUGUGGUGCAGUUCUCUUUCCUUUUUCUUAAUUUUAAGUAGUGAAAACGAAAGCCCCGUUAUAGGAAUUGAGCUUUUAUGGAAUUUCCUUAAAGUUUUCACUAUAAAGUGCAAACAAGAUUCAAGAAAACUGAAUUGCUUUCUUUAGGAGGGGCUCUAUAUGAAGUCUUUUAUGCUUCUAGACCAAAGUACAAAAUGAAGAGAUCCAAAUUAAUGCGUACCAAUUGACUUUCUUUAGGCGAGUCAUGACGGGAUCAAGAUUAUUAAUAUCCAGUUGUAUUUAAUGAGUUCACAAGAUAUAGGACUAUGGGAACCCUUCUUGUGCACCAAGCAAAAGGGAAAAUCAGGGAUGUCGUGUUUGUUGAGCUACAAAGGGUUUGGAAUAGUGAGUGUCUCUUCAGGGUUUGGAAUAGUGAGAUCAAUCUAUCACUCUUGCUACUUAUUCCAUUCAAAACUGUGAGGAACAUACCAGUGGAAUUGAAGGCAACAAUUCAAGAAACAAUAUAUAGAAGUUUAUGACUGAUUAGCUAGAGUAUUAUUUCGAAAAGUGGUGAUUGAAUAAUUUUUGUUAGUGUUUUUUUCAUCUACUUGAAAAUUUUAUGUAGGCUUUAUAAGUUAAGAUACUACUCAAUUAAUUGAUAUCUUUCAUACCGCGCGAAGCGUGGUUGAAUUUA